UAUAAAGUGGAUGCCCAAUAGAGAAGCCUUGUGAUGAACUUGAUGCAAGUUGUAUGAAGCAUGAUGCCUUGCAUUUUAGCAAACAAUAAAAUUAAGGUUCCAACUGCCAUAUUAGAAGGCAAGCUUGACCAGUUACACUCACAAGAAGAAGUCAAACAUGGAACCUUAAUUAGAAAAUCAAGAAAUUGAGAGCUUUGUGAAGAUAUUCAAAGGUGUUGGUCAUGGAUGGGCUUCAAGAUAUAGCGAGGAUAAUGAAUCUGUUGAGAGGAGUGCUGAGGUGGCCAAGCAUGUGAUUUUUUAAGCGGGUCGAGUGCAUUGUGCUUUGGAGUAGAAUGACGAGUUAGCUUCUGAAGUUGGAGACUUUACUUGAUGAUAGCGUGGGGCAAAAUGUCGAGU